AUUGAACGCUGGCGGCAUGCCUUACACAUGCAAGUCGAACGGCAGCACGGGUGCUUGCACCUGGUGCGAGUGGCGGAACGGGGUGAGUAACUACAUCGGAAUGUACCUUGUAGUGGGGGAUAGCUCGGCGAAAGCCGGAUUAAUACCGCAUACGCUCUGAGGAGGAAAGCGGGGGACCUUCGGGCCUCGUGCUACAAGAGCAGCCGAUGUCAGAUUAGCUUGUUGGUGAGGUAAAAGCUCACCAAGGCGACGAUCUGUAGCUGGUCUGAGAGGACGACCAGCCACACUGAGACUGAGACACGGCCCAGACUCCUACGGGAGGCAGCAGUGGGAAUUUUGGACAAUGGGCGAAAGCCUGAUCCAGCAAUGCCG
rnacentral:rRNA from 1 species